AUUCCAGCUCCAAUAGCGUAUACUAAAGUUGUUGCGAUUAAAAAGCUCGUAGUUGGAUCUCAGGCAUGGGCGCACGGUCCGCCUCGCGGCGGUCACUGUGUGAAUUGUUUUCCCAUCCUACGCUUCCCGGUUGUUCAGCCCAUGGUGCUCUUCAUUGAGCGUUUUGGGUGGCCGGAACGUUUACUUUGAAGAAAUUAGAGUGUUCAAAGCAGGCACAUCGCCUGAAUAAUGGUGCAUGGAAUGAUGGAAUAGGACCUCGGUUCUAUUUUGCUGGUUUUCGGAACACGAGGUAAUGAUUAAGAGGGACAGACGGGGGCAUCCGUAUUGCGGUGUUAGAGGUGAAAUUCUUGGAUCAUCGCAAGACGAACAACUGCGAAAGCAUUUGCCAAGCAUGUUUUCAUCA
rnacentral:rRNA from 1 species